rnacentral:lncRNA from 1 species
AGACAGCUGACUAAGUAUGACUCAGACAUACAGAGAAGAGCGGGGUAGGUGCUGAGACAGAAGCCUUCUCUCUUGACCAUGAAAUAAAGUGGACAGGCCACUCCACAGAGAAGAAUAGGGAAGGUCAAUAUUCCCACUCAUGAAACGCUGGGGGUGGCUUUUAACAAUCUCUCAACAGGAGCUGAGGGAACCUGUCUGAAAACAUCGUUUAGAAGUUGUUUUGCCUCAUCUAAUAGAUUAAAGCACAUCAUUUUGACUUACGGAUAAGGCACGUUUUAUGAAGUUUUAAAGAAGAAAUCCUAGUACUUAGCUACCUGAGAAUUAAAAUGAAGAGAAGAAAAUUUCCUGGGGAGAUAAUAGGGCGACACCAGACAUAAAUCAAGUGGCGAGAAGAGGUGGCUGCUUUUAGAGACCUGAGGGAGGAGGACAGAGCUUCUUGGAUCUUCAAGAGUGAUGCUACAUGAGGAGAGGGAAAAUGAUGCGUCUGAUUCAGAACCGUUCACUGAAGGUUGAUGCAACCAAUUCCUCCAUACUGAUGCCGCAUGGGAGAGCUGAGAGACCUUCUCCUAGCAUGGCUUGCAUUGUGACUCACAGUGACCAGUUCAUGUUUGGAUAAUCGUCCAUUCCUUUUGUCUCAUAAGAAAAGAAGUAUUUCUAUAGUUAUUAAACAUGGUGCUUUAAUGCAAAGACUGCCAUUUUUUAUUAAAUAUUUUCUUUAUUUACAUUU